rnacentral:sRNA from 2 species
UUCCCCGUCAUGGGGGAGUAGCCGCCCGCCGCUGUGCGGGAGCUGGCGUCAACACACUUGGCCCCCAUUGGCCAUGGCACCCGCGACAGGUCUCACCUGUCAGGCAAGACCCAUGACCACGGCACGCCCAACCCGAGGGCCGGGGGCGUGCCGUGGUCAUGCAUGCACGUCU